rnacentral:rRNA from 1 species
UGUAAAGUUCAAGCUCCGAUUAUGAGGGCGAAACCGCGAAUGGCUCAUUAAAUCAGUCAUAAUCUACUUGAUUGUUUAAAGUUUAUAUGGAUAACUGUGGUAAUUCUAGAGCUAAUACAUGCACAAAAGGGAUGACUCUCUAGCAAUAGGGAGAAGUUCUGCGUUUAUUAGACUAAGACCAAUGGGCAGCUUCGGCUCGCUCUGAAAUUAAGGUGACUCUGAGUAAAUAAUGGGUGAAAGCCCAUGUUGCUGACCUGACAUACCAAAAGGCCCCUAAAAAGGCCUGUCAGGCAAAUCAAUCGAGUGUCUGCUCUAUCAACUGUGGAUGGUAGGAUAAUUGCCUACCAUGGUGAUGACGGGUAACGGGGAGUUAGGGCUCGACUCCGGAGAACAAGCCUGAGAAACGGCUAGUAGGACUAAGGUCUGCAGCAGGCGCGAAACUUACACAAUGCUAGAUUAAGAUAUAGCGAUGUAGUGAAGAAAAAUAACGAUGUACUUCCAUUUAAACAUGGUAGUACAAUUGGAAUGAGACGACUCUAAACCAGUCAGUCGAGUAACAAAUGGAGGGCAAGUCUGGUGCCAGCAGCCGCGGUAAUUCCAGCUCCAUUAGCAUACAUUAAAGUUGUUGCGGUUAAAAAGCUCGUAGUUGAAUUUCGGGCGGGCUCUAUUGGGAUGCAAUCGUUAAGGCUUCACUAGCUCCGGCUAGCUGUUGCUGGUUGUAUUUUCCCUAUAGGAACCCGUUGUUUCGUCACUUAUUCGAGUGCGAAGCGGGCUGGUGUUCGUUUGGAGUUUACUCCUUGAAUAACAGCAUGUUUACCUUGAGAAAAUUAGAGUGCUCACAGCAGGCAGUUGGGGUGUAAAAGCCCCUUUAUGCUUGAAUAAUGUUGCAUGGAAUAAUAGAAUACGGCCUCGGUUCUAUUCUGUUGGUCUUAUAGAACAACAAACAAGUUGAUUAAGGCGAUCAAAGGUCCAUUUUGAGUGUGGCCAUCGCGUAGUUUAGGCCACGAACUUCAUUCGGUUCUUGUUGUCUGGGGCCUUAAAAUCUCAGUACCAUAUCCGUUUGUUAGCGAGUACCUAUGCUUGCAUGGUCAUCAAAGCACUCUUAGUGUGGCUAGCUUUCUAAUCAACUGAGGCAAUGGUUAAAAGAAAUAGUCGCGGCGGCAUCAGUACUGCAUCGUGAGAGGUGAAAUUCUUAGACCGAUGCAAGACUAACUGAAGCGAAAGCGUUUGCCGAGGAUAUUUUCAUUAAUCAAGAACGAAAGUUAGAGGUUCGAAGGCGAUCAGAUACCGCCCUAGUUCUAACCAUAAACGUUGCCAACUAGCAAUUGGGUUGCGAUUCCUUUAAUUGGAGCCUAAAAAACUCCAAUCAUUAUGAUCCACCCAGCGGCUCUCGUAGGGAAACCAAAGUGUUUGGGUUCCGGGGGAAGUAUGAUUGCAAAGUUGAAACUUAAAGGAAUUGACGGAAGGGCACCACCAGGAGUGGAGCCUGCGGCUUAAUUUGACUCAACACGGGGAAACUUACUAGAUUAAAACUCUGGAAUGAUUGACAGAUUGAUAGCUCUUUCUUGAUUCAGAGGAUGGUGGUGCAUGGCCGUUCUUGAUUCGUAUUCCGAAACGUCUGCUUAAUUGCGAUAACGAGUGAGACCUCACCCAACUAACUAGUCGGCUGGUGCGCUGUGGGGCGCUCAAGGUGGUUGUGGAUCACGGUUAGAAGGUGGCAACACCAACUAGCUACCGCUUCCAUUGCCCUCUGCUCGCCGUCGGACUUCUUAGAGGGAUAAACGGUGUUUUAGCCGUAAGAAACGAGGCAAUAACAGGUCUGUGAUGCCCUUAGAUAUUCUAGGCCGCACGCGUGCUACAAUGGCGUGUGCAGAAAGCUUAUUCGAGGUUCGUCCAGAGAGAACUAGCAAUUUGGUGCAAGUUUGGGGCAACUCAGGUUUGCGUCGAUUGCCAAGUGACUCUGGUUCGCGGGCCGAGAGAAACCGCAGCCGAAAGGUUGUGGCAAUCAAAAAUACACGCCGUGAUUUGGGAUUGGGGAUUGCAAUUGUUGCCCAUGAACGAGGAAUUCCCAGUAAGCGCAAUUCAUCAUAUUGCGUUGAUUACGUCCCUGCCCUUUGUACACACCGCCCGUCGCUACUACCGAUUGGAAGUUUUAGUGAGGCAUCUGGACUCGUCGGCCAUGGGAGGGGCAACCCUCCUCGGCCUGGUGGGGAAGUUUGUCGAACUCAAAUUUCUAGAGGAAGUAAAAGUCGUAACAAGGUUUCCGU